GACGAACGCUGGCGGCGUGCCUAAUACAUGCAAGUUGAGCGAUGAAGAUUGGUGCUUGCACCAAUUUGAAGAGCAGCGAACGGGUGAGUAACGCGUGGGGAAUCUGCCUUUGAGCGGGGGACAACAUUUGGAAACGAAUGCUAAUACCGCAUAACAACUUUAAACAUAAGUUUUAAGUUUGAAAGAUGCAAUUGCAUCACUCAAAGAUGAUCCCGCGUUGUAUUAGCUAGUUGGUGAGGUAAAGGCUCACCAAGGCGAUGAUACAUAGCCGACCUGAGAGGGUGAUCUGCCACAUUGGGACUGAGACACGGCCCAAACUCCUACGGGAGGCAGCAGUAGGGAAUCUUCGGCAAUGGACGAAAGUCUGACCGAGCAACGCCGCGUGAGUGAAGAAGGUUUUCGGAUCGUAAAACCCUGUUGGUAGAGAAGAACGUUGGUGAGAGUGGAAAGCUCAUCAAGUGACGGUAACUACCCAGAAAGGGACGGCUAACUACGUG
rnacentral:rRNA from 1 species